rnacentral:rRNA from 1 species
UACGUAGGCAGCAAGCGUUGUUCGGAAUUACUGGGCGUAAAGAGUGUGUAGGCGGUGCUCUAAGUUCGGUGUGAAAUCUCCCGGCUCAACUGGGAGGGUGCGCCGAAAACUGGAAUGCUUGAACAUGGGAGAGGAAAGCGGAAUUCCUGGUGUAGCGGUGAAAUGCGUAGAUAUCAGGAGGAACACCUGCGGUGUAGACGGCUUUCUGGACCAUUGUUGACGCUGAGACACGAAAGCGUGGGUAGCAAACAGG